rnacentral:rRNA from 1 species
GCGAGAAAGUCGCCUUCGGGUGGCGAGUAAAGCGGCGCACGGGUGAGUAACGCGAUGGGUAAUCUGCCUUUAGGUCUGGGACAACUCCGGGAAACUGGAGCUAAUACCGGAUAAGACCACACGGUCCUUCGGGUCCGAGCGGAAAAAGAUGGCCUCUUCUUGAAAGCUAUCGCCUUUAGAUGAGCCCGCGUCCCAUUAGCUUGUUGGUGAGGUAAAGGCUCACCAAGGCAUC